rnacentral:rRNA from 1 species
CCUACGGGAGGCAGCAGUGGGGAAUUUUGCGCAAUGGGCGAAAGCCUGACGCAGCAACGCCGCGUGAGUGAUGAAGGUUUUCGGAUCGUAAAGCUCUGUCAGAGGGGAAGAACCACCCAGAUGUUAAUAUCGCCUGGGCCUGACGGUACCCUCAAAGGAAGCACCGGCUAACUCCGUGCCAGCAGCCGCGGUAAUACGGAGGGUGCAAGCGUUGUUCGGAAUUAUUGGGCGUAAAGCGCGUGUAGGCGGUUGGUUAAGUCUGAUGUGAAAGCCCUGGGCUCAACCCGGGAAGUGCAUUGGAAACUGGUCAACUUGAGUACGGGAGAGGGUAGUGGAAUUUCGAGUGUAGGGGUGAAAUCCGUAGAUAUUCGAAGGAACACCGGUGGCGAAGGCGGCUACCUGGACCGAUACUGACGCUGAGACGCGAAAGCGUGGGGAGCAAACAGGAUUAGAUACCCCCGUA